GGGCUCACACAAGCGGUGGAGGAUGUGGCUUAAUUCGAGGCUACGCGAAGAACCUUAUCCUAGUCUUGACAUGCUUGGAUUAACCCCAUGAAAGUGGGGCCACGCCUUCGGGUGGAACAAGCACAGGUGCUGCAUGGCUGUCGUCAGCUCGUGUCGUGAGAUGUCGCGUUAAGUCGCUUAACGAGCGAAACCCUUGUCUCUAGUUGCCAGCGAGUAAAGUCGGGGACUCUAGAGAGACCGCCGGCGUUAAGCCGGAGGAAGGUGGGGAUGACGUCAAGUCCUCAUGGCCCUUAUGACUAGGGCUGCACACGUCCUACAAUGGAUCGCACAAAGGGAAGCAAAGCCGCGAGGUCGAGCAAA
rnacentral:rRNA from 1 species